UGCAAGUCGAACGGUAAGGCCCCUUCGGGGGUACACGAGUGGCGAACGGGUGAGUAACACGUGGGUAAUCUGCCCUGCACUUCGGGAUAAGCCUGGGAAACUGGGUCUAAUACCGGAUAUGAGCUCCUGCCGCAUGGUGGGGGUUGGAAAGUUUUUCGGUGCAGGAUGUGCCCGCGGCCUAUCAGCUUGUUGGUGGGGUAAUGGCCUACCAAGGCGACGACGGGUAGCCGGCCUGAGAGGGUGAUCGGCCACACUGGGACUGAGACACGGCCCAGACUCCUACGGGAGGCAGCAGUGGGGAAUAUUGCACAAUGGGCGGAAGCCUGAUGCAGCGACGCCGCGUGGGGGAUGACGGUCUUCGGAUUGUAAACUCCUUUCAGUAGGGACGAAGCGAGAGUGACGGUACCUGCAGAAGAAGCACCGGCCAACUACGUGCCAGCAGCCGCGGUAAUACGUAGGGUGCAAGCGUUGUCCGGAAUUACUGGGCGUAAAGAGCUCGUAGGCGGUUUGUCACGUCGUCUGUGAAAUCCUCCAGCUCAACUGGGGGCGUGCAGGCGAUACGGGCAGACUUGAGUACUACAGGGGAGACUGGAAUUCCUGGUGUAGCGGUGAAAUGCGCAGAUAUCAGGAGGAACACCGGUGGCGAAGGCGGGUCUCUGGGUAGUAACUGACGCUGAGGAGCGAAAGCAUGGGGAGCAAACAGGAUUAGAUACCCUGGUAGUCCAUGCCGUA
rnacentral:rRNA from 1 species